AACCACAAGCUGCCUUCACACCAAACGGUGUCUGGUCAGGUUCUUAUUCCCUGACCAGACUCGUUUUGGUUGAGAGGCCGCUGUGGUU
rnacentral:pre_miRNA from 1 species